AGAGUUUGAUCCUGGCUCAGGAUGAACGCUAGCUACAGGCUUAACACAUGCAAGUCGAGGGGCAGCAUGAUUGAAGCUUGCUUCAAUUGAUGGCGACCGGCGCACGGGUGAGUAACACGUAUCCAACCUGCCGAUAACUCGGGGAUAGCCUUUCGAAAGAAAGAUUAAUACCCGAUAGCAUAGUAUUUCCGCAUGGUUUCACUAUUAAAGAAUUUCGGUUAUCGAUGGGGAUGCGUUCCAUUAGAUAGUUGGCGGGGUAACGGCCCACCAAGUCAACGAUGGAUAGGGGUUCUGAGAGGAAGGUCCCCCACAUUGGAACUGAGACACGGUCCAAACUCCUACGGGAGGCAGCAGUGAGGAAUAUUGGUCAAUGGACGAGAGUCUGAACCAGCCAAGUAGCGUGAAGGAUGACUGCCCUAUGGGUUGUAAACUUCUUUUAUAAAGGAAUAAAGUCGGGUAUGUAUACCCGUUUGCAUGUACUUUAUGAAUAAGGAUCGGCUAACUCCGUGCCAGCAGCCGCGGUAAUACGGAGGAUCCGAGCGUUAUCCGGAUUUAUUGGGUUUAAAGGGAGCGUAGGCGGGUGCUUAAGUCAGUUGUGAAAGUUUGCGGCUCAACCGUAAAAUUGCAGUUGAUACUGGGUACCUUGAGUGCAGCAUAGGUAGGCGGAAUUCGUGGUGUAGCGGUGAAAUGCUUAGAUAUCACGAAGAACUCCGAUUGCGAAGGCAGCUCACUGGACUGUAACUGACGCUGAUGCUCGAAAGUGUGGGUAUCAAACAGGAUUAGAUACCCUGGUAGUCCACACAGUAAACGAUGAAUACUCGCUGUUUGCGAUAUACAGUAAGCGGCCAAGCGAAAGCGUUAAGUAUUCCACCUGGGGAGUACGCCGGCAACGGUGAAACUCAAAGGAAUUGACGGGGGCCCGCACAAGCGGAGGAACAUGUGGUUUAA
rnacentral:rRNA from 1 species